rnacentral:misc_RNA from 1 species
UGAAGUAAAAGUCGUAACAAGGCCUCCGUAGGUGAACCUGCGGAGGGAUCAUUACAGAGUUCAUGCCCUACCGGGUAGGUCUCCCACCCUAUGUUAUUAUUACUUUGUUGCUUUGGCGGGCCGUUAGGCUCCGGCCCGACUACCGGCCCCGGCUGGUAAGCGCCCGCCAGAGGACCCAAAACCCUGAAUAUUAGUGUCGUCUGAGUACUAUAUAAUAGUUAAAACUUUCAACAACGGAUCUCUUGGUUCUG